rnacentral:rRNA from 1 species
UACGUAGGGGGCAAGCGUUGUCCGGAAUUAUUGGGCGUAAAGCGCGUGUAGGCGGUCCGGUAAGUCGGCUGUGAAAUCUCCACGCUCAACGUGGAGGGGCCGUUCGAUACUGUCGUGACUCGAGUCCGGUAGGGGAGUGUGGAAUUCCCGGUGUAGCGGUGAAAUGCGCAGAGAUCGGGAGGAACACCCGUAGCGAAGGCGGCACUCUGGGCCGGUACUGACGCUGAGGAGCGAAAGCGUGGGGAGCAAACAGG